GGGGAAUAUUGGGCAAUGGGGGAAACCCUGACCCAGCAACGCCGCGUGAGUGAAGAAGGCCUUCGGGUUGUAAAGCUCUGUCGCAGGGGACGAAGAAAGUGACGGUACCCUGUGAGGAAGCCCCGGCUAACUACGUGCCAGCAGCCGCGGUAAUACGUAGGGGGCGAGCGUUGUCCGGAAUUACUGGGCGUAAAGGGUGCGUAGGCGGCUUGUUAAGUUGGAUGUGAAAUACCCGGGCUCAACCUGGGGGGUGCAUUCGAUACUGGCAGGCUAGAGUGCAGGAGAGGGAAGCGGAAUUCCUAGUGUAGCGGUGAAAUGCGUAGAUAUUAGGAGGAACACCAGUGGCGAAGGCGGCUUUCUGGACUGUAACUGACGCUGAUGCACGAAAGCGUGGGGAGCAAAC
rnacentral:rRNA from 1 species